AGUUUUCAAACAAAACUCAUAAGAAUCUCGAGGACUUUGUCUUUUCUUAUUGUGUAGAAUACUAAGAAAGCAUCACCAUACAGCACGAAAAGAAAUAUUGAAAACAAAUCAACAGCCACACACUUGGACUCGCCCUGCCCAGGACCCAGGAGGAGCCCCAGGAGUGUGGGUGAUUAGAAACCUUGGGAUACUGAAUUGCAGAAAUGUCACAUAUUCAUUCACAGACCACCGCCUGUCCCAGGGAUAGAGAAGAAGAGACACACAUCCACACAUGGUAAUCUAAAGCCAGGUUUGCCCCUACAAGGCAGAGGGCAAAACUGGUGAAUAUUGCACCGUGAACUGCAGGGGCCCUCAACCCCACUCCGUGUUUAAUGGUGGCCAAGUCCAGCCUAGACAGGUGGGCAGACUGAUGGCAGGAGUAGCCUAAGAAGAGAAGGCCAAUCAUUCAAUGUUUAUUGAGCACCUAUCAUUCAACCAUUCACCCGUUCAGCAUUUAUUGAGUGCCAACUCUGUGCUAGGCACUGGGCAAGGCUCUGGGAUGCAUGCAUGCACAAGACUGCACCCUGGCUCCUUUUGAGGCCCUGAUCAAGUCUCAUCGAUUCUUGAAACUCCCUCUAGGAACGUUCAGGAAGACUGGACAUGCUGUGUGCCCAAUCAGCAGGGGGUUAAGCUGUGAGCAAAGAAGGAUCACUGCCCAGGCGAGGACCAAGCUUCAGGGAGGAAGAGGAACUUGAGUUCACCCUGACAGCAGGACUGGGGUGGGGGAAGAGCAUACUCCAGGAAAGGGAACCUUGUGAGAAGGUGUGAGGACCGACUGGACAAUUGUGUGUGGAGCUCUGGGACAGGCAGGGCUGUAGGGAGAAGCAAAGAGGCCAAGAGCCAGAUCCCCGCUAACUGCAGUAUCAACAAAUCCGAGCUGAGGGUGAGGACAGGCAAAGGAGCAGGGGAGAAGGGAGCAGGGCUCAGGAAGGAGGGCUAUGGAGCUGGAAGCCAGGGCUGUGUGGCUGCAACAGCCACCUGUCCCUCUGUAAACACACGCACAUGCACACACACA
rnacentral:lncRNA from 1 species